AUACAUGGCCGAUGCGGGUCAAAGUGUAGCAUCUGUUCUUAUUAGCUUGGUAUCUAAUACGGGUUGUAUCUGCACCUAAUAUAUUCAACGUAUUUUUGCAAGGUCGUGGAGUGCUUAAAGCUUACUUCACCUCCGCCACGGGUCGGCCCGGUAUUGUACUAUCUUCGGUAUCAGCCCACUCAUA